AACGCUGGCGGCGCGCUUAACACAUGCAAGUCGAGCGAGAACCAAGCCUUCGGGCUUGGGGACAGCGGCGAACGGGUGAGUAACACGUGGGUAAUCAACCCUCGACAUUGGGAUAGCCCGGGGAAACCCGGAUUAAUACCGGAUACCCCAUCUGGCCUUCGGGCCGGCUGGAAAAGGUAGCUUCGGCCUCCGGUCGGGGACGAGCCCGCGGCGGAUUAGCUUGUUGGUGGGGUAAUGGCCCACCAAGGCGACGAUCCGUAGCUGGUCUGGGAGGACGGUCAGCCACACUGGGACUGAGACACGGCCCAGACCCCGCCGGGAGGCAGCAGUGGGGAAUCGUGCGCAAUGGGCGAAAGCCUGACGCAGCGACGCCGCGUGAGGGAAGAAGGCCUUCGGGUUGUAAACCUCUUUCAGGAGGGACGAAGCCACUCGGGUUAAUAGCCCAGAGGGUGACGGUACCUCCAGGAGAAGCCCCGGCUAACUACGUGCCAGCCGCCGCUGUAACAC
rnacentral:rRNA from 1 species